UACGUAGGGGGCUAGCGUUGUCCGGAAUCAUUGGGCGUAAAGAGCGUGUAGGCGGUCCGGUAAGUCCGCUGUGAAAGUCGGGGGCUCAACCCUCGAAUGCCGGUGGAUACUGUCGGGCUAGAGUGCGGAAGAGGCGAGUGGAAUUCCUGGUGUAGCGGUGAAAUGCGCGAGAUAUCGAGGGAAGGAACCACUAUGCGAAGGCAGCUCGCUGGGACGUAACUGACGCUGAGGCACGAAGGCCAGGGGAGCAAACGGG
rnacentral:rRNA from 1 species